AUAUCUGGGGUUAUGGGAAUUUAUUGUAGUAUUGUACACAUGACAAUAUUCUAUGAUAUAUCUGGGGUUAUGGGAAUUUAUUGUAGUAUUGUACACAUGACAAUGUUCUAUGAUAUAUCUGGGGUAAUGGGAAUUUAUUGUAGUAUUGUACACAUGACAAUAUUCUAUGAUAUAUCUGGGGUUAUGGGAAUUUAUUUUAGUAUUGUACAUGUGAUGUUUUCUAUGAUAUAUCUGGUGUUAUGGGACUUUAUUAGAUUGUACAUAAGUUAUUAUCUGUAAUUUAUCUUGGGGUUUUGGAAUUUAUUGUAGUAUUGUACACAUGACUGUCCCAUCUAUGGUUUAUUUGAAGUAAUUGGAAUUUCUUGUAGAAUUGCCACAUGACAAUUUCUUUGGGAUUAUGGAAAUUUAUUGUAGCAUUGUAUUUAUGACAUUUUCUCUGAUUGAUCUGAAGUUAUAGGAAUUUGGCAUGAUAUUGUACAAACAUUUUCUGAGAAUUAUAUGGGGUGUGUAAUGAAAAUGCCAUGGAGUGGAGAAAUUCUAGAUGCUCUUGAAAGUUAAUUGUUGACCAUGGAACUGUAAAUGCUGACCUCUGUCUAAGCAAGGAAACUGUUAAGGUCACAAUGAGUCUGGAAUUGUGUGGAUAUACAUGUUCAGUUCACUUUUUAUCUGAGACCCAACAGAAUACUGUACAAGAAGAGGCAAAGGAAAUGGACUGAAGAUGUGAAGGCGCUGAAGACGAGUAGCGAUACCAGUUUUUGUAUAAAUACAGAAGCCAGUGCAGCCAAGAUCGACACUGAUGGUAAUCCCCAUCUAAUGAACAUCCUGCUAACUUGACCUUAGAUUUACCACCAUUCAUACCAGAAGUUUGAAAUCAAUGGAGAGGAGAGUGGCUAUGGAGAAAUAUGCUGAGGAAAACAUGAAGAAAGAAAACAUGACGGCCUUAGUGAAAGAAAUGAUAUUGGCUAUUUCACAGAAGAGGGAAGAAUUCAAGAAGUUUUUCGGGAUUUAGAGUUAGCUAAAAUUUAAGAUGGAUUUUUUGAGAUGUGACAAUUAUAGACUGGUAGAAUUUAUCUGCUGUGAAAUUGACCAGGAUGUAUUUGACUGCCUUGAUCAACUGUCCAUAUAAUCAUUAUGUUCUGGAGGGUCCAAACUCGAACCUAACAUUCUUGAGGUACUACAAGCCUUAGGAGAGAAGCCAUUUGCCAAAAAAUGUCCAAAAUACAUUUGAAGUGAUGAUCAUCAUCAACGGCUUUGGGUGAAGGUUGUCUGUAAUUGCCAAGUCAACAUUUACCAAGCCAAUAUCUGGUGCCUCUCGCAAGCUGAAGAAUAUAUAGAAAAACCAACAUUCAUCACAUUUGAUCUUGCAGCUACCAGACUUGUGUUGGACAAGGAGCCUUGCCCUGUAUUACUCAAACUGGAGCGGUGGAGGUAGAGUCCGGGGAUAUUUUCACUAUCUGUGUUCUUCCCAGAAUUCCUAUAUGGCCUGGAGGUAGACUCCGGAGAUAUUAAAAUUUCACUGUCGUGUUCUUCCAAGAAUUCCCUUAGAGUCUGGAGCAGAGCAAACCACCAGAAUAGUCUGCAAUGGAACCUUAGUUUUUGCUCAUGGAUAAUUUUGACAACUUUAUUGUAUUAUAAUUGUACAGACAGCAUUUUCUAGGGUUAAGGAAAUUCAGUGUAGCAUUGUACUGACAUUUUUAUGAAUUAUCUUCGGUUACGAAAAUUUAAUUUUGUAUUGUUUACUUGAUAUUUUCUAGGAUUUAUCUGGAGAUAUAGAAAUUAAUGCAUUAUUGUAUAUACUUUAUAUGAUUUAUUUGGGCUAUUUUAA